rnacentral:rRNA from 1 species
GGGGGGGGCAAGCGUUGUUCGGAAUUACUGGGCGUGAAGGGCGCGCAGGCGGCCUGGCCAGUCCUACGUGAAAUCCCACAGCUCAACUGUGGAAUUGCGUGGGAUACUGCCAGGCUUGAGUCCGGGAGAGGAGAGUGGAAUUCCCAGUGUAGCGGUGAAAUGCGUAGAUAUUGGGAGGAACACCGGUGGCGAAGGCGGCUCUCUGGACCGGCACUGACGCUGAGGCGCGAAAGCUAGGGGGAGCAAACGGGAUUAGAUACCCCGGUAGUCCUAGCCCUAAACGAUGAGCACUUGGUGUGGCGGGUAUCGACCCCUGCCGUGCCGAAGCUAACGCAUUAAGUGCUCCGCCUGGGAUACGGUCGCAAGGCUG